rnacentral:rRNA from 1 species
GACGAACGCUGGCGGCGUGCUUAACACAUGCAAGUCGAACGGAAAGGCCUCUUUCGGGGGGUACUCGAGUGGCGAACGGGUGAGUAACACGUGAGUAACCUGCCCUUGACUUUGGGAUAACUUCAGGAAACUGGGGCUAAUACCGGAUAGGAGCUCCUGCUGCAUGGUGGGGGUUGGAAAGUUUCGGCGGUUGGGGAUGGACUCGCGGCUUAUCAGCUUGUUGGUGGGGUAGUGGCUUACCAAGGCUUUGACGGGUAGCCGGCCUGAGAGGGUGACCGGCCACAUUGGGACUGAGAUACGGCCCAGACUCCUACGGGAGGCAGCAGUGGGGAAUAUUGCACAAUGGGUGGAGGCCUGAUGCAGCAACGCCGGGUGCGGGAUGACGGCCUUCGGGUUGUAAACCGCUUUCGCUCAUGACGAAGCUUUGUGUGACGGUAGUGGGUAAAGAAGCACCGGCUAACUACGUG